rnacentral:rRNA from 1 species
UACGUAGGGUCCGAGCGUUGUCCGGAUUUAUUGGGCGUAAAGACGCCCGCAGGCGGCUUGGCAAAGUCUUUCGGUGAAAUCUCCCGGGCUUAACUGGGAGGGUGGCCAGGGAAACUGCCAGGCUUGAGGCAGGGAGAGGGAUGCGGAAUUCCAGGUGUAGCGGUGAAAUGCGUAGAUAUCUGGAGGAACACCGGUGGCGAAGGCGGCAUUCUGGACCAAUAUUGACGCUGAGGAGCGAAAGCCAGGGGAGCAAACGGG